AGUCACUCUCUUGAGCAUCAUGUUGACUUCUUUCAUUUUAUUUGAACCUAUUUUCUGUUUUUCUUACUAAGGCUUGUAACUGGGAAAUCUUUCAACCCAAUGCUUUUAUGCUAUUUGUUUUAAAAAUACAGUACAUUAUAUAAAAUUGGAUUACUGUGGGACCAUUAAGCGAGAUGGUGGCACACUAGGAGGUAUUGUGACAUCCACAUCUUUUUAUUUCUUACAUUUUCUUUACCACUAAUCCUGCUCAGGGUUGAGGGGAACUGGAGCGUAUCAAGCGAAUUUCAGGUGAAAGGUACAUUAGAUUGGUGGCUAGUCAAUCAUGAGACGCAUGCAGACAGACACAUAUUCACACUGAAAUUCACAACCCAUACAGCCUGCAUGGAAGUCACGCAAAUGUACCACUAAACCAUCAGUGACUGAUUUAAUUUCAAAAGAUUCUUAAUGAUUUAAAUUUCACAUUAAAUCUUGACACAAUAUGCACUCUCUAAUGAGAAAUCAGUCAUCAUUCAACACAUUUAUUAUGUUCAAGGGAGUAGGAACAAGUAAAAAACGUAUCUAGUCCUACCCCGUGUUAUGUGUUUUUAUAUAAAUAGAUCAUUUUUAUAUCAAUCAGAAAAGAAAGAAAGUAAGAAGAAAGAAGUCUCCAUUAAGGCUCUUGCUUUACCCUUAACCGUGAUAUUUUUUACAACUUUUAGUUUGUAUCGGGAUUUUAUACAUACACACCCUGGCACUCUUGUCAAUUUUCUCUUGUAUUUAUAAUGGAUAUUGCAGUACCUUUCUAUAUUUAUCAACUUAGUUCUGAUUUAUUAUUAUAUUGAAUUAAUGUUUAGAAUUUAUCACCUUAACUCUGAUUGAUGUAGGUUGUGUGUACUAUUUUUUAAAAUUUGUUUUUGAACCUAGCAAGCGAUUUACUAAUUUUCCGGUCAGUUUCGAAAUUAUUCCACAGAUUAACACCUUUGACAGAUACACUUCUUUGCUUGAUGUUUGUUCUUGUUUUGAGUUUUUUGAAUAAAUUGGUACCUCUUAAAUCAUAGCUGCUUUCUCGAAUUUCGAAAAACUUCAAAAUGUUUUGGCAGAGCAGGUUAUUGUGUGCUUUGUACAUUAAUUGGGCAAUUUUAAACUCAACCAGGUCAUAAAAUUUCAUCGUAUUUAAUUUAAUAAAUAGUGGAUUUGUGGGUUCCGUAUAUUUUGAUCUAUUAAUAAUUCGAAUUGCUUUUUUUUGGUUGUAGUUUUAGAAUAGGGAGUGUAUUUGUUUUGCAGGCAUUUCCUCAUAGGUCAUACAUUGUAUAUGGUAAUAAUAAUGAAGUUACGUUUUGUGAUUUUAGGUGAUGACUUGACAAAUGAAUAAGGCCAAUUUUCUCAAACAUGAGACUGAGAGAAGUGCAAACCGCAAUUUCAAUGAAGUUGAAACAUUGAAAUUAAAAACAAUGAUUUGCAAGUUGUUUUUAUUCAUUCAAAUACACUAAAAAGAAAAGAUAUUUACCGCUCAAAUAUCUUUAUUUAUUUUUAUUUAUUUAUUUUGCAAAUAUCCAACUCUUGUUUCCAAAGAUCAGCAUGCUAAUUAGAAAGAGGUGGGUAUGGAUAUCAAAGAAUCACCCCCGAAAGAUUCAUUUUCUCACAAGCAAAGACGAGGCGAGGUUGAUCACUUUUGCCACUUUUGUUUGUUUGUUUAUUGUUUCAUUGAACCUUUAUAGAACAUACAAUACAAUAACAGAUUGACAAAAGUGAAGGCAAGUAAAAAUUAGAAAAAGGAAAAACAUAAAAACAUUAAUACAUUUAAUUAGUUGAUCAAUUUAAUUCUGUUGUAUUAAUAUAUUUUAUAAGUAUAUCAAAUGUAUCUUCUUAACUCUGAUUUGUGUAGUUUUUUUGUACUCAUCUUUUGAAUUUUUUUAUAACUCAUCCAGCGAUUUACUCAUUUUCAGGUCCGUUUCAAACUUAUUCCACAGAUUGACACCCAUUACUGAUAACACAACUUUGUUUGUUCUUGUUUUGGAUUUUUUGUAUUGAUUAGUCCCCCUUAGAUUAUAACAACUAUCAAUAAUUUCAAAAAGCUUCUGGAUAUUUUGGCAAAGGAAAUUAUUAUGUGCUCUUUACAUUAAUUGGGUGAUUUUGAAGUCAACCGGAUUAUAGAAUUUCAUUGUGUUUGAUUUGAUAAAUAGUGGAUUUGUGGGUUUUAUUCGUCCCACACUGGGAAAAUUUACAGCCUCCAGCAGCAAGAAUGUAUGUAGAAAGAAGAAAGGAGAAAGAGAAAAAACAACAAACAUCUUUCAAUUAAAUACAAUAUGAACAUAUGGCAGUAAUAAUGAGUGCUAUAAUGUGUACAAAGAAAUAUUAUUCAACACAUCCUUAGUUGGUGGAGGAUCCUUUUAGUUUUGGAUAUUUUUCUUUUAACGUUAUCUAUGUGUAGCUUCCAGGAUAGUUUAGUAUCUAUUACUAGUCCAAGAAACUUAAUUUCAUAAACUUGUUCUAUUUCAAUUGAGUUUAUCUUUAUUUUAACUUGGUGUGUGAUUGGUCUCAUGCCAAAAAGAAUUAACUAAGAUUUUGUCAAAUUUAGAGUUUAUUUCUGUCGAACCAGUUUAUUAUUUUGUUUAAUUCAUUUUCCAGUUUUCAGGAGUUGUUUCAUAUUUUCUCCAGAGCAGUAAAAGGUUGUAUCAUCGGCGAAUAGGACACAUUUGAAUUGUUUUGAGACACUACAGAUAUCAUUUAUAUAUUAGACUAGCUGUUUUGGUCGAUGCACUGAUCCCUGAGGAACUCCAUGGGUAACCUUCAGUAGGUUAGAUGUUUUGUUGAACUGCACAUACCGAUAUCUGUUUUCUAAAUAACUUUCAAUCCAUUUAUAUGCCUCUGAUACCAUAUCUCUCUAAUUUAAUCAAUAAUAUACUAUAAUCUAUUGCACGGGUCGGGAACCUUUUGGCUGAGAGAGCCAUAAGCACCACAUAUUUUUAAAAGUAAUUCUGUGAGAGCCAUACAAUAUUUUUAAAACCAAAAAUACAAGUAAUGUGUGCAUUUUAUGUAAUUUCAACACUUUUAAAGUACAAUAGGACUCUGAAUGAUUUUGAACAACAUUGUUAUGCUGCGGCGGCCCGGUAGUCCAGUGGUUAGCACGUCGGCUUCACAGUGCGGAGGUACCGGGUUCGAUUCCAGCUCCGGCCUCCCUGUGUGGAGUUUGCAUGUUCUCCCCGGGCCUGCGUGGGUUUUCUCCGGGUGCUCCGGUUUCCUCCCACAUUCCAAAAACAUGCGUGGCAGGCUGAUUGAACACUCUAAAUUGUCCCUAGGUGUGAGUGUGAGUGUGAGUGUGAAUGGUUGUUCGUUUCUGUGUGCCCUGCGAUUGGCUGGCAACCGAUUCAGGGUGUCCCGCGCCUACUGCCUGUCGACAGCUGGGAUAGGCUCCAGCACCCCCCGCGACCCUAGUGAGGAUCAAGCGGCUCGGAAGAUGAAUGAAUGAAUGAAUGAAUUGUUAUGCUGAUGCUAAUCAAUGAUGAGUAUUUCUGACCAUUAAUGUGACUUCUGGUGCUGCAUGGUUUUGCUGAUGGUUUGUAGUCUAGUUGAUACUUGCUGAGGUUAAGAUUCAUGCAUUGCAUUGAGACUUCAAUCCGUUAAACGUGACUGUAGGUUGGUCUUAAAGACCAAGUGUGAAGUAAAGUUGGCCAACCAUGUUUCUGAGUAAUAUCAAUGGCUGAAGUAUUAUAAGCAUAAUUCCGUUAUUUUUUUUUUUAACGCAACCCUUCCAGAUUCUUUGUUUAACCAUUAGCAACACCCUUGACAACGAAAAUGCUUUUCUUCUGCAAUCUUCGGAAAUGACGUCACAUGAAGAGAUGCGAGGGAAGUCCUUCCAGCAUUGUUGCAUUGCUUGUUGGUAAAAUGCCACGGCGGUGUGUGGCGAUGUAUUGUUCGCAAUCAACAGAAAAGUUGUGCCAAUGGCCGAAGGAUAGCAGGGCACCUAAAUGGACAUCUUUUAUUCGCACGAAGCGAGUGAAUUUCACGAUUCAUUGACGAGUGUUCUCUGCCAUCUCCACUUCAAAGAUGACUGCUUUCCAACCGGUAGUAGGCUAACCGGAGUAGGCUAACUGCUUGAACAUGAAGUCUGAUAAAAAACAAUUUAAACAAUGUCAUCAGAUAGACAAAAACAUAAAAUUAUGUGCACAUGCCUGCAUAUUCAAAUCAUAAAAAUAAUACCAGCCUAUAACUUACCAAUCUUGAUGGGUCUUGUCUCCAUUCCAUGUCAGGUCGUCUGGGCACAUUGUUUGCCUCCUGAUUAGCGUCUGGCUCGUACAUGUAAGGUCCAACAUGUAAAAUUCAAACCUCCUCUUCUUCCUCUAACACUUCAAAAACUUGGAUAUCCUCACUAGCGCUCGAUCGACCGCUUGUAUUGCUGUUUGAAUCAUUGUUUGAAAUGCUUUGCAUGCGGCCGUAUGGAGCUCUGCCAUCGCUGUUCUCCAUGUGACGUAACAAUUCCGGGUUCCGCCCCUUUCAGGCUGGAACCUCGGAAAAUCGAUUAUUUUGUCAAAUAUACAACAUAUAAAUGAUUUUUUCAAGCUUUAUUUGGUGGACAAUGUUUUAAGUACUUUCAUUGUGACCCUAUUUGGCAUUUCAUGAAAUUACUUCACACUUGGCCUUUAAUGUUCUUUAGAUGUGAGAAAGACUGCUCACAUGUAUAGGUAGAGCCAAAUAUUGUCAGUACAGCAAUACUCACACGCUGCAGUGUGUGGUAUGUCAGGGAAAGCACGUUCCAAUUUUUGACAAUCAGCUGGUCUACGGGUUGAAGUUUUUAAAUUUCUGCCCACUUGUGUUGUCUUGCCAACUCUGCUUGCUAUCGUUCAAGUCUUUCCAAAUCUUCAUUCAGUGACUUGAAUUUAUUCACCCACAUGUCUAAGGCCUUCAGGUCAGCAGCCUGUAGCUCAAAAUCUCUGAUUGAGACACCGGGAAUGGAACUCAGGUCAGCGCUCUCCACUGUACACUCGUGCGGAUGGGUGAUAAACUUAAAAAGACGACUGCGCUUGCGAAAUUCUCCAAAGCGCGAUUUGAAUGACUGUGUGAAGAUGUGAAUCCUGCUAGCUGCUGAAGAUGAAAAUGUUGAGCAGGGUCACUUGCUGUGCAUGCCUCUUUAAACUCUCUCAGUUUUUCAAAGUGUAGUAAACGACCUGUUUCAAUGUCGGCGAUGAAAAGUUGUAGCUUGUUUUCAAAUGCACUUUUGUUGCAGGGAUAAAAUUGUAUUUCCAACGCCUUGCAUUUUCACAUUGAGCUGGUUUAGAUGUUCAGUCAUAUCCACGAGAUAGUAGAAUUUCAGGAGCCACUCAGUGUCAGCUAGCUCGGAAUGCUCGACAUUUUUCAUUCCAAGAAAAGUCCGAAUUUCGCUCAGACAAGCCGCAAAACGGCUGAGCAGCUUCCCCCUUGACAACCAACGCACGUUGCUGUGCAGAAGCAGACCAGGAUAAUUAUUACCAACUUCAUCCAGCAGUGUUUUAAACUGGCGAUCAUUUAAAGCUCGGGCUGAGGCGGACACUAGGACCAUGCUUCUCACCCAGCAGGCAGACAGUAGAGGGCGUGUUUAUGUGAAUGUCUUGGGCGCAAAUUUGUAAUUGUUCAGAUCCACUUGUUGGCAGUCGUGGAAUAAAGACGUGUUUACAGUCAAUCGUGUGUGCUCCUUAUGACUGCCGCAGGGCAACAAUAAAAUUGACCACCCGAACGAAGGCAAAAAACCUUACGCGAAUGGGAGCGCUAAUGAGAGAAAAGCGCUCCAGUUAGCAUACGGUUUUUAGCGUUCGAGAGCCAACUACGACUUUGAGGACUACGAAGCGUCCUGUGGCUGGCUUAAAAGUUCAUUGCAUGCCAGGAAGUAUUUGUUAUUGUUAGCUUCAUACGGGAAUGGACGUUGCAUUGCUAAAAUGGCUACAAAACUGACCUUUGGAUGUCAAACAGCUAAGGCAAGAAGAGCUCUGAUGAUGGAAGAGAGGGUAAAAGCAAAAUAGAGGGAGCAAGCAAAAUAGAAGACAUUGUCCGAGAAAUUGAUGUAAGUGAAAGUGAAUGCUGAUCGUAAAUUUCGCAAUUUCUUUCCCUUUUUUUCUUUCUACACGAACAAUAUGAAGUGUCAAAUAAGUGUGUGCGCUCAGUGUCCUUGAGUGUUGUGAAAGGCGCUUACAAAUGUGAUGUAUUAUUAUUAUACUUAUGCACGUUGGAAUAAAAUGUUUAUGCGUGCGUGUAAACAUGUUUGUGUGUGUGUGUGUGUGUGCUUACAUCUGAGAUCAAAUUUGCAACAGUGAAAAAACCCCUGUUGUGAAAAAUUUCUUGCUGCAAACAUGAUUUCGUUGUAGAGGAGUUUCACUGCAGUAGGUUUUACACGAUCAGGCUUUUGGGUUUGAUCAGCAAGUUUGAAAAAAGCGAUACUCCUUGACUGAUUCGAUUGGAAGAUGGAGAAAUAUAACACACUGCACAUAAAGGAAACAAUCAUGAUAUUGGCCAUUUAUAUUCCAUGACAUAUUUUCAAUUAUUCGAUAAAAAAAAAUACAUGUAUACAGCACACUGACGCCUUAUGUUUUAUCUUUUUAUUUGAAAAAUACAUGAAACAGACCUGUAUUAAAUGAGAAAUGCAUCCAGUAGUGGAGGUGUAUAACAUGAUUAAAUGUAAUAGAAGCAUAGUAGUCAACAUAUUUGUGCACAAAUGUAGAUAUUAAUAUAAAAAAAGACUCAUAAAAUAUCUGACAGACAUUGAUUAAAGAAUGUUGAUCUCCACUGCAAUGUAAUUUUGAUACCAUUUAUUUUGCAGAUCUCAAAAGUCCAAAUCGAAACUCGGGACUGUAUUGUGAAAACAAUUUACAUUAUAGUAUGUAUUUUGUCCAUACAUUUUCUGUCGAUUACCAUGUCACGGAUGACGGCAGUGCUGGCAAGGAGAAGAAAAUGGGACGAAUGUGUCUGGAGACACUGUGGGUCACUUGUUGAGGAACAAUAUCAGAAUGAUCGGACUGAAAGAAAGCAAGUAAGAUAUGGUAAAGUGAUGCAGUCCAUAGAGAGGAAUAGGAUAAUGUGUGUGUGU